GCUUUUCUGUUGCAAAAUUGCCACAUUUAAGUCUGUCACUGAGUGACCAGAGAGGUUAAAGUGAUCUUCUCCUGGUUUUUGAAUUUUAUGAUUCCUGAUGUCAGGUUUGUGUCCAUUUAUUCUUUUGCAUAGAGACUCUCCUGUUUGGCCACAAGGGGGUACCAGAAGCUUGAAUUUGUAUUUAGCUAACCUGAGCUGUUACUUUGUUCAGUCUUCAAGCAGGAAUUGGGUUCAAUGUUUAGCAUGGAGGAAGGGGUCAUCUAUGCAGAUACACAGAGCAAAUUAAGUGAAAUGAUAGAAGCAAAACCAGUGUUGCAUGUACAGUAAUUGGCUAUUGAGACCUGCAGACAAAUAUAAAGUAGAUUACUCAAUGCACAGUGUCACACAUUAUAGCAAACGACCUUGGAAAACAAACAUGCAUGUUAAUACAUACGAUAGAAAUCAAAUCAUACUCUCUCCCCUUAGCAGUUCUACAAUGAAUAGCUACGAGCAUACAGCAGAUUUGGUUUAAAAGAGGAACUGUCAGGGUAAAAUAAUAAUAAUAAUAAUAAUAAUAAUAAUAAUAAAAAAAAUCCUGCUUAUUUUUGACUGUUUCAAAUAAAUCCCUCAAAUCAUAAUUUUAUAAUAAUGAUAGAAAUGUUUAUAUCCACAGCCUGAUUCAUUGUGCUGCUUAGAGUGCUUCACACUACUUUGGCAAUGCAUAACAGCCAGAAACCCACUUCAUGCUCCCAGUCUUUCACUUUCAGGUUUUCACGCCCUGACCCAAAGCUGCAACGUUUGAGAUGCAAGCACUACAAAAGAUUGUUUUUAAUCCCCAAAAUGGAUAACGUACAAGAAAGCAGGUGUCUCGGUGAAAUGUAAUGAGCCUACACAACAGCCUGGAGAGGAAGCAAGGAUUACAACAUAUCCAACUGAAACUCCAGGGGCAAGUUUAGGUGAGAGGAAUGGAAGUACUCAAAUUGGAAUCUGACAAGGGCACUAGGGCCCACAUCUUCCAGGUUUAUGGGUGUCUAACAUCAAUGGAAAUUAUUGGAGUUAGGCACAGAAAUACUUUCAGCAUGGGGCAUAGGUUCCUAUUCUUAUAAAAGGUUCCAUGGGAUCUUUAAUGAUAGGAAGUUAACAUGACCUAUGUCUUACAUUUCAUUACAAAAAGGAAGGAGGAAGCAUGUGAGCAGGCAGUGAUCUUCCCAAGAAGGGAUGAGUUUGUGUUUUAUUUCCAAUGACUGCACCUCCUGCCUGUUGCGAUUGAGGGCUCUGGUAUGGAAUUUUUGAGAGUCAGACAUGGUUUGAACUGACUAAAUUAUUUAGUUUGUAUGUUUCAACUAAUCAAGACGUAUGACUGUGUAGCUCUCUAGUGCAGGAUGAAGAGAAUGCAGUGAGCAGUUUGGUUUCGGUUAGUGGCUCACACACUGGGCUAACACGUGUCCCCUCUCACAUUCUUAAAUAAAAUUGGAAACUCUUUGACACAGUGAGCACAACAGCACUUCAUCUCUUCUGCUCCGGACUGGGAGCCUGCUCCCACCUUUUUCUUUCAGCAUUUGAGUAUUUGUCACUCAAGACUGAGCAGCAUUGACUUCUUGUGCUUUUAUUUCUCCUCAGGAGCCAGAGCAAUUCCAAGAGACAUGGUAGCAUUUCUGGAAUUUCUCUUCACUUGCCUCUUGCCACAUGGCUCCUCACAAGUGUAUCUGACCCAAGCUCAAGUGUCCAUCACCAGGGAAGAAAAUAAAGCCAUACGAAUUGACUGUCAUGUUUCUCUAUUGGAGGAUUUUGGCAAGGCUCCUAUACACUGGUAUAGACAGAGACCCAGUGCAGCUCCAGAACACAUUCUGUUCAUCUCAACACACUCUGUCUUGAACAGAGACUCGGAUAAAGGAACGUUUAAUGCUGAAAAGAAGAUUGGCCAGUCUACCUGUACCCUGACCAUAAACAAAAUAAUGUCCAGUGACAUUGCUACUUACUAUUGUGCCUAUGGGGAUCACACAGUGUUGGAAAACUGUAGACAGCCUGUACAAAAACCCACUCUGCAUUCUGAGCCACAGCCACUGUCACCUCUCGAAAAAUUCCUCUUAGCCUGGAGCCAGCAGCAAAAACUCUUUAUUGGCUUCUGCAGCUAGAUAUGAACAGCA